rnacentral:pre_miRNA from 1 species
AAUAGAACUGCUAGGUAAUAAGGUAACAUUAUAUUUACUCUUUUGAAGAACUACCAAAGUGUUUUCUAAGGUAUUUGCACCAGUUUACAUUCCUAACAGCAUU